UCCCACAAUUCGCAGUAGCUCCGCGUUUCAUAAUCUGUCUCAAAUUCUCAAGUUCUUUAAAGAACGUUGAAGAUGGGUGUGAUGAGAUUUUUGGCUCUGUUUAUUCUUCUCUUUUCAGUACUGAUUUUUCAAGCAGCAGAGGCAAGAAUCAGAAGGUAUAAAUGGGAGGUGAAGUAUGAGUACAAGUCUCCUGAUUGCUUCCAGAAGAUGGUUAUUACCAUCAAUGGACAAAGCCCCGGCCCAACAAUCCUGGCCGAAGAAGGAGACACCGUCAUUGUUGAGCUUACAAAUGGUUUAUUGACAGAAAAUGUCGCAAUCCACUGGCAUGGUAUCAGACAGAUUGGGACGCCAUGGUUUGAUGGAACAGAAGGCGUGACCCAGUGUCCAAUCCUGCCUGGAGAGACCUUCACAUACGAGUAUAAAGUGGAUAGGCCUGGGACUUAUCUAUACCAUGCCCAUUACGGAAUGCAAAGAGAAGCUGGGCUGUAUGGAUCGAUUCGUGUGUCGGUUGCUCGUGGGAAGACUGAACCCUUUUCCUAUGACUACGACCGGAGCAUCAUCCUCUCUGACUGGUACCAUAAUACCACUUAUGAACAAGUCCUGGGCUUGUCCUCCAUACCUUUUGACUGGAUCGGGGAGCCUCAGUCACUUCUGAUUCAAGGAAAAGGAAGAUACAACUGCUCUCUAGUUUCAAGUCCUUAUGUCUGUAAUGCAACAAGUCCUCAGUGUUCUCCCUAUGUACUCACUGUAGUUCCGGGGAAAACAUAUCGCCUUCGGGUCUCCAGCUUGACUUCCCUGUCAGCUCUCAGUUUCCAAAUAGAGGGUCACAACAUGACUGUUGUUGAAGCAGACGGGCACUUUGUGGAACCCUUUGUGAUAAAAAACCUCUUCAUUUACUCAGGGGAGACCUAUUCAGUUCUGGUGAAGGCUGAUCAAGACCCUUCAAGAAAUUACUGGGUCACAUCCAGUGUGGUCAGUAGGAACAACACUGUCACUCCUCCGGGCUUGGCCAUCUUCAAUUACUACCCCAACCAUCCCAACAAGUCUCCCCCAACAGUCCCACCCGCUGGCCCUCUUUGGAACGACGUAGAGCCGCGCAUCAACCAAAGUCGUGCCAUUAAGGCUCACCAUGACUAUGUUAUCCCCCCUCCUCUCACCUCAGACAGAGUAAUUCUGAUGCUCAACACACAGAAUGAGAUCAAUGGUUACAGGAAGUGGUCUGUGAACAAUGUGUCCUUCAACCUCCCACACACACCCUACCUAAUUGCUCUCAAGGAGAAUAUCAGUGGUGUCUUUGAUCCAACCCCUGCUCCAGAUUACUUUGACUUGGAAAAUUAUGAUAUUUAUACUAAGCCAAACAAUUCCAACGCCACGUCCAGCAACUCAAUUUAUAGGCUCAAGUUCAACACAACAGUGGACAUCAUACUGCAAAAUGCAAACACCAUGGUCGUGAAUAACAGUGAGACACAUCCAUGGCAUCUCCAUGGGCAUGACUUUUGGGUACUGGGCUAUGGGGAAGGCACGUUUAAUAUGUCCAGUGAUCCAAGAACCUACAAUCUGAUUAACCCAAUUAUGAAGAACACAGCACCUAUUCAUCCUUAUGGAUGGACUGCCUUAAGGUUUCGAUCUGAUAACCCAGGUGUCUGGGCAUUCCAUUGCCAUAUCGAAUCUCAUUUCUAUAUGGGUAUGGGAGUUGUUUUUGAAGAAGGGGUGGAGAGGGUUGGAAAGCUGCCUUCAUCUAUCAUAGGUUGCGGUAAAUCCAAGGGUCUCGGCGGUAGGCCAUAAUUUUUCUUCCCAAUUAUCAACUAAUUGAGGUGGAAUGUAUCUGUGGCCGCAACUAGAUGCCUUGAUUUGCAAAUGGUUGCGUCUUUGCGCUACUAUAGGGUCACAACAUGACCGUAGUUGAAGCAGAUGGGCACUUUGUGGAACCCUUUGUGAUAAAAAAAAACCUCUUCAUUUUCUCAGGGGAGACCUAUUCUGUUCUGGUGAAGGCUGAUCAAGACCCUUCAAGAAAUUACUGGGUCACAACCAGUGUGGUCAGUAGGAACAACAUUGUCACUCCUCCGGGCUUGGCCAUCUUCAAUUACUACCCCAACCAUCCCAACAAGUCUCCCCCAACAGUCCCACCCGCUGGCCCUCUUUGGAACGACGUCGUGUCGCGCCUCAACCAGAGUCGUGCCAUUAAGGCUCACCAUGACUAUGUUGUCCCCCCUCCUCUCACCUCAGACAGAGUAAGUCUGAUGCUCAACACACAGAAUGAGAUCAAUGGUUACAAGAGGUGGUCUGUGAAUAAUGUUUCGAUCUGAUAACCCAGGUGUCUGGGCAUUCCAUUGCCAUAUCGAGUCUCAUUUCUAUAUGGGUAUGGGAGUUGUUUUUGAAGAAGGGGUGGAGGGGGUGGGAAAGCUGUCUUCAUCUAUCAUGGGUUGCGGUAAAGCCAAGGGUCUCGGCGGUAGGCCAUAAUUUUUCUUCCCAAUUAUCGACUAAUUGAGGUAAAGUUUAAUUGUAUCACCUUUUCUAUAUUAUGUUGUCGAUAAUACGAAUUCUUUGUACUCUUGAAUGAUAAAAAUAGUUAGAAAGUGUUCACAUGGAUCUUGUAGUCCUGAAACACUUGUGAUA